CGGGCUGAGUAACACGUAGGAACGUACCCCAAACUGAGGCAUAAGCACCAGAAAUGGUGUCUAAUACCGCAUGUGCUCUUCGGAGUAAAGCUACGGCGGUUUGGGAACGGCCUGCGCAUGAUUAGCUUGUUGGUGAGGUAAUAGCUCACCAAGGCGACGAUCAUUAGCUGGUCUGAGAGGACGAUCAGCCACACUGGGAUUGAGAACGGCCCAG
rnacentral:rRNA from 1 species